CGCAUUUAACAUCAUUAUUAACAUGUAAAUAAUAUAAUUCGUAAACAUAACGUUUAUGUUAAUUUAUAAUGUUUUUUUUUUUUAAUUGUUGGCUUUAAGUUAAUUUGUCUGUCAGACUCAGUUUGUUCGUGUUGUAGCCUGUUAACAGUAGACCAAAGGUAUGAUGAUCAAUUAUAAAUGCAAUAUGGUUGAAAGGUCAGUAAACAAACAACAAAAAGGUAAUUUCUUAAUAGAAUGUCUAUACAUUUUUUGCUUUUGUUACAUAUUUCAUACAUCAAAAUCAUUAAACGUUAAUAAUUAUGUAUUCCAACUUGUUGCAGCUUGACAAAAAUGUAGCUUGAAGGAGAAGGGACAGCUGAGUAACAAAGUCCUGGUACGCAGACGACGAUACUAUUACACUGACAAGAGUGUAAUGAUGAUGGAGACACAAGCCAGAGAAAGGGGGACCAAACACCAGGCCAGAAUUCUGCAUGAGUCAGAUCCAGUGGGUGCAGAUCAUCAUACAGAUGGUUCAAGUGUGGAUCCACCUAAUAUUCAAGAUUUUCUGUCCUGGGACACUUGGCUAACCAUCAAGAAAGAACACACUCCAGUGGGCAUCCUUUAUCCAUCCAGACCCUCAUACAGAUGGUUGGAGU